rnacentral:rRNA from 1 species
UCGGGAAUUUUGGGCAAUGGGCGAAAGCCUGACCCAGCAACGCCGCGUGAAGGAUGAAGUCUUUCGGUAUGUAAACUUCGAAAGAAUAGGAAGAAUAAAUGACGGUACUAUUUAUAAGGUCCGGCUAACUACGUGCCAGCAGCCGCGGUAAUACGUAGGGACCAAGCGUUGUUCGGAUUUACUGGGCGUAAAGGGCGCGUAGGCGGCAAUUCAAGUCAUCUGUGAAAUCUCCGGGCUUAACCCAGAACGGCCAAGUGAUACUGUCGCGCUAGAGCGCAGAAGGGGCAAUCGGAAUUCUUGGUGUAGCGGUGAAAUGCGUAGAUAUCAAGAGGAACACCUGAGGUGAAGACGGGUUGCUGGGCUGACACUGACGCUGAGGCGCGAAAGCC